rnacentral:rRNA from 1 species
CCUACGGGCGGCUGCAGUGGGGAAUUUUGGACAAUGGGCGAAAGCCUGAUCCAGCCAUGCCGCGUGCAGGAUGAAGGCCUUCGGGUUGUAAACUGCUUUUGUACGGAACGAAAAGCCUCUUUCUAAUAAAGAGGGGUCAUGACGGUACCGUAAGAAUAAGCACCGGCUAACUACGUGCCAGCAGCCGCGGUAAUACGUAGGGUGCAAGCGUUAAUCGGAAUUACUGGGCGUAAAGCGUGCGCAGGCGGUUUUGUAAGACGGAGGUGAAAUCCCCGGGCUCAACCUGGGAACUGCCUUUGUGACGGCAAGGCUGGAGUGCGGCAGAGGGGGAUGGAAUUCCGCGUGUAGCAGUGAAAUGCGUAGAUAUGCGGAGGAAUACCGAUGGCGAAGGCAGCCCCCUGGGCUACUACUGACGCUCAUGCACGAAAGCGUGGGGAGCAAACAGGAUUAGAUACCCUAGUAGUCACA